CUCUUGAAGAAAUUUUUACAAUAAAAAGAUUUGAUAUGUUUGAUCUCCUACUUACCACCCCAAAAUGAGAUGAAAUCAAUCGAGGUCAUCUUCCUUUACUUCUUGAAAACUAAGUUAGCAUGGCCCAAAGAACAGGAGUGCUAAUGACUCUGAAGUCAGAUGUUAUUUGGAUCAACAGUAUAGAGAGUUACCAUUCAUGCUGGAUUCAAGUUGAAAUUCCUAAGAGCAAUACCAUGCUCAUGUGAGCACAUGUUAUGGAGAAAAGGUGGUUAGAGAUGGGGAACAUAGGCUGUAAAAAUGUUUUAAAAUCAAAUCUAGUUCAGUAUGCAUGCCAGGUUAUGUUUAUAUUCUGUGUCAGGGAUCUCUUAAGAGCAGCUUUCAAUUGUAUAAUGCCUAACACAUAAAGCAUGUGCUUCUGAAUGCCCUUUCUAUAUUGUUUAUAGGGUUAUCCAUCAGCUCUUGCAUCUAUAACAUUUGUGUAGACCAAAGGCAGUGGGACCUACAGUGACAAAAUCUGCCACAUUCAUCCAUGAGGAAUGCCUUUUAGCAGGAUUUUCCUCUUUACACGGACUAUAAAUUUUGCCCCUUCUUUAUUUCUUUUGUUUUUUUCCCGAUCUUGUUUGCACUGAUACUUGUUUUGGUUGCUUUAAUGUGACUAAUGGAUUUAGAGACACUUUAUUUUUCUCUGUAUUGUCAGUAUUUGUUACUGUUUCACCUGAGCUGGAAUCAAAUCUCCAAGCUUAUUUGAUAAAAAUGUUGAGAGGUCCCUGUGCUUAGUUUAGCUAAUGUUCACUUAAAACCAAAGGAUAUUUUUCAUGUGCCUACAGCUAUAAAAAAUUUUGUAGGACAUUUAUGAAAAAUGUAGGACAGGAGAGCUACGUCAGAAACUUAAAAUUUUUUAUGAGCAGUUUGAAAACGGAAUAUGAUUAAAGGCCAAAUGUUUAGCACUCAUAACUCAGAUCCUAACAUAGAAUAUUCAAAGAGAAGCUCAAUUGGAGUUUGAAUAGCAAGGAAGGCUUCAUCAGGGGAUUUCAAUUGUACCACUGUAAUUUAGUAAGAUUUAGAUAGAAGGACAAAGGAAAAAGAUAGAAAAAAAUAGGAGCUAACGUUUGCAAUGGAUCUUUCCACAGUUUAGGGAUUUCUGUUUUGUUUUGUUUACUCACGACUUUUCUUUAUUGGGAUUUAGUUGAUAUUUCUCUUUAUUAAAACAGCGUGCCAGAGAUUGGAUCUACACCAUAACAAGUUUACCUUUUACUUCUAGGCAAAACUCUACAAUUUCUUAUGUCAUUAAAAUGGGUUGCAGAAUUCCAUUUGCCUUCCUAAAAUCUUGUGAUUUUAUUGGGCUCCUAGUGCUGGACGCUGAAACGGUGGGGAUUUGGGUGAAUGGUGGCAAAUCACGGAAUUAAUAUUUCUAAGACUAGCUUUCUUUCAGAAAUGUCAUGUCAUCAUCUCCACUGAGGUGUUGCUGGGAAGAGAUAACAUGGUGGCUGUGGAAACACAGAGAUGGUUUGUUUAUUCAACAAAUCUUAUAUGCCUCCAUUGUGCUCACUACUAUAAUUGACACCGAGAUACUCAGGAUAUGGGUCUUCUCCUUGAGGAACUCACUGUCCAGUCCAACCUCCUAAUUUAUAGCUGAGAAGACCAAUGUCCAGCUGGUAAUGGUACUCAUUCAAGGUGAUCCAGACAAUUGACAGUUGAAUAGACCAUACACUUGUUUGAAUCUUUGGCACCUUCAACGUUAGACCGGACAGUGAGCUCCUCAAGGACAGGCACUCAGCAUGGACACAAUAUGGCCCUUAAUGUUAACCAUCUGCUUUCAUGACCCCAGAGCAAUACUUUUCCACAUCUCUUGCCCUGUGCCUCUAAAAUGAAGGAUGGUGCUUCCAAACGCUCUGUAGAUGUGUUGACAGUGGUGCUGUUGACCUCAGAGAUGAACACUGCUUUGGAGAAUGAGGAGGUCUUGAGCAAUGGAAAGAUUCAGCUCCCUGGUACAUAGUUGCAUAUUUUUAGUUGCGGGUCCUUCUAGUUGUGGCAUGUGGGACACACCUCAACAUGGCUUGCUGAGCGGUACCAUGUCCAUGCCCAGGAUCCAAACCGGCAAAACCCUGGGCUGCCAAAGCAGAGCGGGUGAACUUAUCCAAAGUUCAGUGUUUGUAUUUGGAUCUAUGAUAUUUUAUGUUUGUGUGUGAGUUUCAAGCACUUAUUGCCUUUUAUAAUAAUAUGUUUAACUUUAAGAUUAUAUAAUUAAAAUUAUUCUCCAACUUUAUUGAGUUGUAAUUGACAAAUAAAUGUAUACAUUUAAAGUGUACAAUGUGAUGAUUUGAUAUACAUAUAUGUUGUGAAAUAUUAACUGCUGCCACUUCACAUAGUUAUCUGUUUUUGUAUGUGUGGUGAGAAUGUUUAAGAUCUACUCUCUUAACAAAUUCCAAGUAUAAAAUACGGUAUUAUUAACUAU
rnacentral:lncRNA from 1 species